AAAUCUAUUAUUUUGAAAACAAAAUUUAAGACAGGAUUACACACACAAAAUAAGAUCAAAAAAAUUUGUUUUCGUUGUACCUGUUCCGAAUUGUAUUUAUGUGCCUGGUGUGUGCAGAAGAGUGCUUUUGAUCAUUCAGAAAAACGGAAACAACGUCAAAUUCGAGAAAGUUUUUCCGAGUGUUAAUUUUGACUGAAUCGGAAACGGAAAUCCAUUGAAAAACUAGUGUUUCCUUUUGUGUUACAUUCUGUGAAAACUAUCUCUGUACUGCUUGAUAUUUGGAAGCGUAAACAGAUUAAAUAUGAAAUCGACCAUACUGUGGAUGGUAGUUGGAGCAACGUUACUGUUUGGCGAAUCAGUGAACGCAUGGGGUGGUCUGUUCAAUCGUUUCAAACCGGAAGCGCUUAAAAAUGAAGGAUAUGGCAGUCACAGCGGCAUCGGCUAUUAUCCAUUCUAUCAGAAUGACGUCUAUGAAGACGAACCAGAUGAACCGUGUUACGGCAAACGAUGCACAGCAAACGAAUAUUGUUGCCCUGGAAGUGUCUGUGUAAACGUUGACGGAGUUGCUUGGAAAUG